rnacentral:rRNA from 1 species
CCUACGGGAGGCAGCAGGGGGGAAUAUUGGACAAUGGGCGCAAGCCUGAUCCAGCCAUGCCGCGUGAGUGAUGAAGGCCUUAGGGUUGUAAAGCACUUUCACCGGUGAAGAUAAUGACGGUACCCGUAGAAGAAACCCCGGCUAACUCCGUGCCAGCAGCCGCGGUAAUACGGAGGGGGUUAGCGUUGUUCGGAAUUACUGGGCGUAAAGCGCRCGUAGGCGGACUAUUAAGUUAGGGGUGAAAUCCCGGGGCUCAACCCCGGAACUGCCUUUAAUACUGGUAGUCUAGAGUUCGAGAGAGGUGAGUGGAAUUCCGAGUGUAGAGGUGAAAUUCGUAGAUAUUCGGAGGAACACCAGUGGCGAAGGCGGCUCACUGGCUCGAUACUGACGCUGAGGUGCGAAAGCGUGGGG